rnacentral:lncRNA from 1 species
GGCCACGGUGAGAAGAAUCCCACGUCCGAAUGUUCGAACGUACUACAGUCCCCGACCGGCUCGAAGGCACGGUCCAUAGCGACAAGAACCACACACAAACCACAAGAACCACGACUCAACAAAUGACUAAACAACACCAACAUGACGACAACUCAGAGUAGCACAUUUCCACAGCAUCAAAAGAAGAUAGACCGGCACGAAGGCACGGCACAGGCAU